CGCGUAGGCGGUCUCUUAAGUCAGAUGUGAAAGCCCGGGGCUUAACCUCGGAAGUGCAUUUGAAACUAAGGGACUUGAGUAUGGGAGAGGGAAGUGGAAUUCCUGGUGCAGCGGUGAAAUGCGUAGAUAUCAGGAGGAACACCGGUGGCGAAGGCGACUUCCUGGACCAAUACUGACGCUGAGGCGCGAAGGCGUGGGGAGCAAACAGGAUUAGAUACCCUGGUAGUCC
rnacentral:rRNA from 1 species